GAAAUGUUGAACCGAAAUUGAUGUUAUCUUUUGUUCAUCCCCGAGAACGAGAGGAAGAAUAAAAAGAACUGGUAAGACCCAUUUGGCGACUCUUUGUCCUAGGAACUUCUAGUGUGUGAUUGAUCUGUUUUAACUCACCUGAAAGAGGCAGGGUUCUUUGGCCAAAACCUGAGGUUUCUCUGGGAAGCAGGUUGUGCAAAAAGGAAGAGCAUGUCAUUCCAGUCAAGCUUCUGGUCUUCCGACAGAACAAAAGCUUGGCCAUAGCCUUCGAUGGAGUUAGGAAUCUCAAGAGACUCGGACUCGCACACCUCGCCGAGCUCAGAUGCGGGCCGUAGAUAGCGAGGCGGAACCUCCUUCAGGCCCUUGGACGCUAGAGCUUGGACAUUUUUGACUGGGAGGGAACCGCCGAGGUCGCUCAUGUG